rnacentral:rRNA from 1 species
UGUGCCCUACGGGGCGCAGCAGUGGGGAAUAUUGGGCAAUGGGCGCAAGCCUGACCCAGCAACGCCGCGUGAAGGAAGAAGGCUUUCGGGUUGUAAACUUCUUUUCUUGGGGACGAACAAAUGACGGUACCCGAGGAAUAAGCCACGGCUAACUACGUGCCAGCAGCCGCGGUAAUACGUAGGUGGCAAGCGUUAUCCGGAUUUAUUGGGUGUAAAGGGCGUGUAGGCGGGAAUGCAAGUCAGAUGUGAAAACUAUGGGCUCAACCCAUAGCCUGCAUUUGAAACUGAAUUUCUUGAGUGCUGGG